rnacentral:rRNA from 1 species
CCUACGGGUGACAGCAGUGGGGAAUAUUGGACAAUGGGCGAAAGCCUGAUCCAGCCAUGCCGCGUGUGUGAAGAAGGCCUUCGGGUUGUAAAGCACUUUCAGUGGGGAAGAAAGCCUUGGGGCUAAUACCCUCGAGGAAGGACAUCACCCACAGAAGAAGCACCGGCUAACUCCGUGCCAGCAGCCGCGGUAAUACGGAGGGUGCGAGCGUUAAUCGGAAUUACUGGGCGUAAAGCGCGCGUAGGCGGUCUGAUAAGCCGGUUGUGAAAGCCCCGGGCUCAACCUGGGAACGGCAUCCGGAACUGUCAGGCUAGAGUGCAGGAGAGGAAGGUAGAAUUCCCGGUGUAGCGGUGAAAUGCGUAGAGAUCGGGAGGAAUACCAGUGGCGAAGGCGGUCUUCUGGACUGACACUGACGCUGAGGUGCGAAAGCGUGGGUAGCAAACAGGAUUAGAUACCCUAGUAGUC